UACGAGGGGGGCAAGCGUUGUUCGGAAUUAUUGGGCGUACAGGGCGCGUAGGCGGUGCGGUAAGUCACCUGUGAAAACUCUGGGCUCAACUCAGAGCCUGCAGGCGAAACUGCCGUGCUUGAGUGUGGGAGAGGUGCGUGGAAUUCCCGGUGUAGCGGUGAAAUGCGUAGAUAUCAGGAGGAACACCGAUGGCGAAGGCAGGUCUCUGGGCUGACACUGACGCUCAUGCACGAAAGCGUGGGGAGCAAACAGG
rnacentral:rRNA from 1 species